rnacentral:rRNA from 1 species
UACGUAGGGUGCGAGCGUUGUCCGGAAUUAUUGGGCGUAAAGAGCUUGUAGGCGGUUUGUCGCGUCUGCCGUGAAAUUUCGAGGCUCAACCUCGAACUUGCGGUGGGUACGGGCAGACUAGAGUGUGGUAGGGGAGACUGGAAUUCCUGGUGUAGCGGUGAAAUGCGCAGAUAUCAGGAGGAACACCGGUGGUGUAGACGGCUCUCUGGACCGUAACUGACGCUGAGACACGAAAGCGUGGGUAGCAAACAGG